rnacentral:rRNA from 1 species
UACGUAGGGGGCAAGCGUUGUCCGGAAUCAUUGGGCGUAAAGCGCGUGUAGGCGGUCCGGUAAGUCCGCUGUGAAAGUCGGGGGGCUCAACCCUCGAAUGCCGGUGGAUACUGUCGGGCUAGAGUCCGGGAGGGGCGAGUGGAAUUCCUGGUGUAGCGGUGAAAUGCGCAGAUAUCAGGAGGAACACCAAUGGCGAAGGCAGCUCGCUGGAACGGUACUGACGCUGAGGCGCGAAAGCGUGGGGAGCAAACAGG